rnacentral:rRNA from 1 species
UACAGAGGGGGCAAGCGUUAUUCGGAAUUAUUGGGCGUAAAGGGCGCGUAGGCGGCUUGGCAAGUGGAAGGUGAAAUCCCUCGGCUUAACCGAGAAACUGCCCUCCAAACUGCUUGGCUUGAGACCGGGAGAGGUGAGUGGAAUUCCCAGUGUAGCGGUGAAAUGCGUAGAUAUUGGGAGGAACACCAGUGGCGAAGGCGGCUCACUGGACCGGUACUGACGCUGAAGCGCGAAAGCGUGGGGAGCAAACGGG